UAAACUAGGGAUUAGAUACCCUAUUAUUGAAAAUGCAAAUUGUUAUGCUUGAGUAGUAGUAGUUAUGUUCUUGAAAUUCAAAGAAUCUGGCGGUAUUUUAGUCUAUUCAGAGGAACCUGUCCUGUAAUUGAUAAUCCACGAUUAAUUGUACUUAUUUUUAGUUUGUAUAUCGUCGUAGUUUGAAUGUUUUAGAAGAAAAUUGAACAUUCAAGAGUUAUAAUAAUAAAGUAAAUCAGAUCAAGAUACAGCGUAUAGAUAAGAAGAGAUGGGUUACAAUAAAUUUAUUUAAAUGGUUAUUAUAUUUAACAAUAUUUUAUAAAGUGGAUUUGAUAGUAAUAAAGUUAAGUUAAACUUUAUGAUUUUAGCUCUAAAAUAUGUACAUAUCGCCCGUCGCUCCUUCUUUAAAGAUGGAUAAGUCGUAACAUAGUAGGUGUACUGGAAAGUGUACCUAGAAUGGCAAAUUAGAGCUUGAUAUAAAGCAUUUUAUUUACAUUAAAAAGUUAGUUGUGAGAAUCAAUUUAAUUUGAAAUUAAGUGAUUAUUUGUUAUUUAUAAAAAAAAGAAUUUUUAUAUAAGUAUAUUUUAGAAAAUAAGGAGUUAAUUAUAGUGAAUAGUAUAGUGAUAGAAUUUUGAAUUAUUAAAUAAGUUAAUUAUUAAAAAGAAGAAUUUAAUUUUCGUACCUUGUGUAUCAGGGUUUAUUAAAAAAAGUUAAUUAUUUAAUUUUCUCGAAUUAAAAAGAGCUAUAACUAUAUAAAUUUAAAUGUUGCAUAAUUUUUUAUCAUAUAGUUAUGGUAAUGAAACGUUAGUCGUUUUUUAAUAUAUCUAGUUUCUUAAGAAAUAAAUUUAAUUUAAUUUUUUAAUUAUUUAUUAUUAAUUAUUUAGUGGUAUGUAUUAAGAAUUAAAUAUUUUAAGGGAUAAGCUUUAAAAUAAAUUAUUAAAAAUAUAUUUUAUAUUAUAUAAGAUAGGUAGGAUUGGAAAUUUUUAUCUGUAGUUUGUUAUAAUUAAUUUUAUAUUAAAUAAGAUUUAUAUUAAUUUUAAUUUUUUUAUUAAGAAUAUUUAUAUAAUUAUAUAUUAUAUGAAAUAAUGAUAAAAUUAGUAUAGUUUUAUGUAUGUUAUAAUUUAAUAUAAAGGUUAAAUUAAGGAACUCGGCAAAUAUAUUUUUCGCCUGUUUAUUAAAAACAUGUCUUUUUGAUUAUAAUUUAAAGUCUAACCUGCCCAAUGAGGAGUUAAAUGGCCGCGGUAUUUUGACCGUGCAAAGGUAGCAUAAUCAUUAGUUUUUUAAUUGAAAGCUGGUAUGAAUGGUUGGACGAGAAAAUAACUGUCUCGAUUUAAGUUAAAUUAGAAUUUUAUUUAUGAGUAAAAAAGCUCAUAUAAGUUUAAAAGACGAGAAGACCCUAUAGAAUUUAAUAUAAUUAUGUAUAUAUUAUUUUCAGAAUUAAUAAUAAGUUAUAUGUAAUUAUAUUUUGUUGGGGUGAUAGAAAAAUUUAAAUAACUUUUUUUAUAUAAAAACAUUAAUGUAUGAAAAAAUGAUCCGUUAAUUACGAUUAUAAGAUUAAAUUACCUUAGGGAUAACAGCGUAAUUUUUUUUUAGAGUUCUUAUCGAAAAAAGAGUUUGCGACCUCGAUGUUGGAUUAAAAUUAACUUUUGGUGUAGGGGCUAAAAGGUUAGGUCUGUUCGACCUUUAAAAUUUUACAUGAUCUGAGUUCAAACCGGAGA
rnacentral:rRNA from 1 species